rnacentral:rRNA from 1 species
AAAUUGAAGAGUUUGAUCAUGGCUCAGAUUGAACGCUGGCGGCAGGCCUAACACAUGCAAGUCGAACGGUAGCACAGAGAGCUUGCUCUCGGGUGACGAGUGGCGGACGGGUGAGUAAUGUCUGGGAAACUGCCUGAUGGAGGGGGAUAACUACUGGAAACGGUGGCUAAUACCGCAUAACGUCGCAAGACCAAAGAGGGGGACCUUCGGGCCUCUUGCCAUCAGAUGUGCCCAGAUGGGAUUAGCUUGUUGGUGAGGUAACGGCUCACCAAGGCGACGAUCCCUAGCUGGUCUGAGAGGAUGACCAGCCACACUGGAACUGAGACACGGUCCAGACUCCUACGGGAGGCAGCAGUGGGGAAUAUUGCACAAUGGGCGCAAGCCUGAUGCAGCCAUGCCGCG